AGCGAACGCUGGCGGCAGGCUUAACACAUGCAAGUCGAGCGGGCAUCCUUGUGGUGUCAGCGGCAGACGGGUGAGUAACGCGUGGGAACGUGCCCUUCGGUUCGGAAUAACUCAGGGAAACUUGAGCUAAUACCGGAUACGUGCGAGAGCAGAAAGGUUUAUCUGCCGAAGGAUCGGCCCGCGUCUGAUUAGCUAGUUGGUGAGGUUACGGCUCACCAAGGCGACGAUCAGUAGCUGGUCUGAGAGGAUGAUCAGCCACACUGGGACUGAGACACGGCCCAGACUCCUACGGGAGGCAGCAGUGGGGAAUAUUGGACAAUGGGGGCAACCCUGAGCCAGCCAUGCCGCGUGAGUGAUGACGGCCUUAGGGUUGUAAAGCUCUUUUCUCCGGGACGAUAAUGACGGUACCGGAGGAAUAAGCCCCGGCUAACUUCG
rnacentral:rRNA from 1 species